UCGACGGCGGCGCUUCCUCGGCGUGCUGGUGGCAGCGGCAGCUCUCGUGUCUCGCAGGGCUUCGCUUGGUGGGUUUGUGAUGGCUCAGCUGUAGAGAGGCACCUCCUUUUAUAGUUGUUAGGAUUAGGGUUACUUAGGGUUUCUCUCUGUUGGGCCUUUUCCACUUGGGCCUGGGCCGGGGUGUUACAAUUCUCCCCCACUAGAACUGAAUUCGUCCCCGAAUUCUGCUGUG
rnacentral:lncRNA from 1 species